rnacentral:lncRNA from 12 species
AGUGAGGAACAAUAGGAUACUGUGACGAGGAAUGAAGAAGGAAAGACAUCUUGGAAAGCUCGGAGGUCCCGAAAUGCACAAGCAGGUUCCUUAUCCAAGAAGCACAUACAUCAAAACCACCUGGAUAUAUGUUUAAAGUAGAAUGUUUGGGUCCCAUCCAGAUUCACAUAAUCAGACUUUCUGGAUCAAGGAGAAAGAAGACAAGAAAGUUAAAGCUGGCUAUCAGAUUUGAUCCUCCAGAUUAGAUGCCAGCCCUGUCAACACCUUGAUUUCGGCCUUUGAAACCAUGGUUGUGUUGCCCAGGGGAGAGAGGUGAUCUCAGACCUGAGGCCUCAACCCAACCAGCCCAAAAGAUGUCCGCAAAGACUCUUGGACUCAUCAGGAGAAAGAAUUCAAGGAGAAACACAACACAACUGAUGAGUAGUACAAGUUGGAAAGUUUAUUAAAGUGAAAGUACACUCUUGAGAUGUGUGGGAGCCAAGGAGCUCAAGGGAGAGCUGUGCACUGGGGUUUGGGUCUCUA